UACAGAGGGGGCAAGCGUUGUUCGGAAUUACUGGGCGUAAAGGGCGCGUAGGCGGCCUGCUAAGUCGAACGUGAAAUCCCCGGGCUCAACCCGGGAACUGCGUCCGAUACUGGUGGGCUUGAAUCCGGGAGAGGGAUGUGGAAUUCCAGGUGUAGCGGUGAAAUGCGUAGAUAUCUGGAGGAACACCGGUGGCGAAGGCGGCAUCCUGGACCGGUAUUGACGCUGAGGCGCGAAAGCCAGGGGAGCAAACAGG
rnacentral:rRNA from 1 species